rnacentral:misc_RNA from 1 species
GAUGAAGAACGUAGCAAAAUGCGAUAAGUAAUGUGAAUUGCAGAAUUCAGUGAAUCAUCGAAUCUUUGAACGCACAUUGCGCCCGCCAGUAUUCUGGCGGGCAUGCCUGUUCGAGCGUCAUUUCAACCCUCAAGCACAGCUUGGUGUUGGGACUCGCGUUAAUUCGCGUUCCUCAAAUUGAUUGGCGGUCACGUCGAGCUUCCAUAGCGUAGUAGUAAAACCCUCGUUACUGGUAAUCGUCGCGGCCACGCCGUUAAACCCCAACUUCUGAAUGUUGACCUCGGAUCAGGUAGGAAUACCCGCUGAACUUAAGCGUAUCAAUAAGCGGAGGA